rnacentral:lncRNA from 1 species
AGCGGCCAAAGAGACGGCUAACGCUCAAAAUUCUCUCGGCCCCGAGGAAGGGGCUUGAUUAACUUUUAUACCUUGGUUUAGGAAGGGGAGGGGAACUCAAAUGCAAUAAUUCUACAGAAGUAAAAACAUGCAAGAAUCAAAAAAACAAAUGGUUACAGAGAGAGAAACAAUUUAAAAGACAAAUGGUUACAAAAGAAGCAACGGAACCAGGUGCGGGGCUCUAAAUCCUUCAUUAGAGUUCGAUAUGGAUGCUCUGCCAGACACGGACUCAAGGCUUUAUGCUGUUAUCUCUUUGAGCAAAACCCUGGGAACUUCAUACAUUGUUUGUUCCAGUACCUUAUCAGUUAAUUGGGCUCCUUUGAAAUGCUGAGGAUCUGCUUACACAGGUUAACGCCUUGAGGAAGGGGUUUGGAAAUGUUAAUGGCUGGGCGCAGUGGCUCACGCUUGUAAUCCCAGCACUUUGGGAGGCUGAGGCAGGAGAAUCACUUGAGCCCAGGAGUUGGAGACCAGCCUG